rnacentral:sRNA from 1 species
GUGAAAGAAAAAAGAGAAUAAGCUUGGUGAGAAGGAAGAUCCAGAGGUUGGUUGAAUGAGGAGCUUUAUGACAGUAACGCAGACAACAAAGAAGUUCUCCCAGGAUAAUCCGUGGCAUAUACUAGUAUAAGAAAAACGGUUAAAAUAAAAGGUAAUAUAAACUUCAAAGGAAUAAUGGGAGAAUAACAGUGCAAAUGUCAUAGUUUUCCAGAUUACUGACACAAGUCUUAAUUAGACAGAAUUGGUUGUUCCACAUACAACUUGUGUUUUAUCAUUAUUUUUUUGUCACUUCAACUAUUAAUACUGAGUUUUAGUUUAACAAUGGUUGCAUGAAAAUGUUCUCAAAGGCUUCUCGAAGAACCACGAACGAUGGGAUUAAUCUUAAGUUCACGGAAUUUGAAAAACAAAUCUGCGAAUGGGAAAAGAAUUAGACUUUUCGAUCCCUUGG